AGGCAGAGGCAGGGAGAACUGACAGCUGCCGUGAUGAGGAGCAGAAUGUAAAGUACUGGUAGGCCACAAGCCACCUGCCAAGGUAUAUAUUUAUAGAAAUGGGUUAAUUUAAGAUAUAAGAACUAGAUAGCAAGAAGCCUGAGCCACAUGGCCAUACAGUUUAUAAAUAAUAUAAGCAUUUGUGUGUUUAU